GGUGUUUGUGCUGGAAUUGUGAAUUAUUACCAUUGUUGAAUUGGGGGAAAUUAUAGAAACGUGGGGUUAAAGUUUUAAUUUGGUUUUGAAAUUUUACCAGCAUCAUUUGGGUAUAAAUAUUGUGAUUCAUACCAAAUUUGAGGUGAAAAUACCACUGUUUGCCUAUUGAACCACAUUUUGUGGAGAAAUUGGACUAUUUUUAGUUCACCCAUCAAACCAACCCAGAAUUUGACCAAAUUUUACCUGAA
rnacentral:misc_RNA from 1 species